CCCAAAUCACUAACGAACCCAGAUUCUCUCUUUACGAAUCGAAUCGAAUCCCACAGAAAUCUCAGAAUAUGGCGGGAGGUGGUGGCGCGGAAGCUCACGCGCGAAGCAACCAAUACCAGCCGCGAUCGAAUUCCAGUCUGGUUCUCCUGGCGUCCUCCGACUCUCGCUCACGUGAGGGUCACGUGCCCAGCGGCGAGGCUGAGUCUCUCCGCGGCAGAAUCGACCCCAAAAGCUUCGGUGAUAGGGUUCGCAGGGGAAGGCCGAAAAUGCACCGCCGCGACCCGAGUCCUCCGGAACCUUUUGCUUCGAGCAAACUGCGCCGUAUUUGGGAAGAGAGCGUGCUCACUGCGACGGAGGAAGACGGCGUCGUUUACAGGCCGAAGACGAAGGAGACCCGGGCUGCGUACGAGGCGAUGCUUCACGUGAUUCGGCAGCUGUUGGGUGACCAGCCGGCGAGUGUGGUGUACGGCGCCGCCGACGAGGCUCUGGCGGUGAUUAAAGUUUGUUCAGAUUGGGAAGCUGAUCACCGAUUACGGUGAUGAUGACGACGACGACGACGACAUAGUUGGUUGUGGUGAUGGUGAUUUCGAUGUGGGAGUUGCGGUUGAUUUUGAAGAGGAUGAGGAUGAGGGUGUUGGUGCGGUUGUGGAGGAUGAGGAGGAGGAACAAAAGGAGUCGGUGGCGGGCCGAGCGAUUGUUGAUGGUGAUGAUGUAAUGGUGGAAUGUAGUGAAGGUGUGAGUGUGAAUGUUCAUGAGAUUGAUGCUUACUGGGUGCAGAGGAAGAUAUAUGAGGCUUAUGAGAAACAGAUUGAGCCACAACAGUGCCAGGAGCUAGCUGAAGAGGUGGUUAGUAUACUCGGUGAAGGUGGUGUUAGGGAUGUGGAAUCCAGGCUUUUGGAGAAGCUCCGGUUUGACAAGUUUGGGCUUAUUAAGUUUUUGUUGCUGAACAGGGUGAAGAUUGUGUGGUGUACUCGUUUGGCUAGAGCUGGGGGACAGGAGGAGAGGAAGAGAAUCGAGGAGGAGAUGUUGCGUUUGGGUCCUGAUUCGGCUGCAAUUGUAGAGGAGCUGUGUUUGAUGAGGGCUAGUGUGAAACAGAGGCAAAAGAGUAAGGAGAUGAGUAUUAAAGCAGAGGCUCGGAAGUUGAAGAAGGCUGGGGUUGUUGACAGAGAUGGAGAAAGUGGUGAUUGGUGGAAGAACCAGGAUCAGCAGCUUGAUCUCGACAGCAUUGCACAAGAACAAAGUAGAAGAUUUUUGGUGCCAAACAAGUUUGAGCUUCCGAAAGGGUCUUACAGACAUUCAAGCAAGGGAUAUGAAGAAAUCCAUGUGCCGGCAUUGAAGCCUAGACCUUUCAAGUCUGAUGAGAAACUUGUGCUAGUAUCUGCCAUGCCAGAAUGGGCUCAACCGGCUUUCAAAGGAAUGACUCAGUUGAAUAGGGUACAAAGUCGAGUAUAUAGGACUGCCCUUGAAGCAGGGGACAAUAUUCUCUUAUGUGCUCCUACUGGGUCUGGAAAAACUAAUGUUGCAGUGCUCACUAUACUUCAGCAGUUGGGGCUGCACAUGAAUCAGGAGGACGGUUCAAUAGACCACAGUAAGUACAAAAUUGUAUAUAUUGCGCCCAUGAAAGCUCUUGUUGCUGAAGUUGUUGGAAAUCUGUCUAAUCGUUUGCAGGACUAUGGUGUCACGGUGAGGGAGCUAAGUGGUGACCACACACUGACUCACCAACAAAUUGAAGAGACUCAAAUUAUCGUCUCAACUCCUGAGAAGUGGGACAUCAUUACCAGGAAGUCGGGAGAUUAUACUUGUACAAAACGGGUCAAGCUUCUCAUCAUUGACGAAAUUCAUCUUCUCCAUGAUAGUAGAGGCCCGGUUCUUGAAAGUAUUGUUGCCCGAACUUUCAGGCAGAUUGAGACCACAAAAGAGCAUGUCCGCCUGGUGGGAUUAUCUGCUACACUUCCUAACUAUGAAGAUGCGGCAUCAUUCUUGCGUGUUGAUAAGAAGGGUCUGUUUUAUUUUGACAAUAGUUGCAGACCUAUCCCUCUUUCGCAACAGUAUAUUGGAAUUACUGCAAGGAAGUCAUGGCAGAAGUACCAGUUGAUGAAGCAACUCUGCUAUGAAAAGGUGAUGGCUGUAGCUGGAAAACAUCAAGUUCUUAUUUUUGUACACUCAAGGAAAGAAACAGCUAAAACAGCUGGUGAUAUAAGAGAUUCUGCACUAGCUAAUGAUUCCCUUGGUAGAUUUCUGAAAGAAGACAGCGGUAGCUGUGAAAUCAUUCGCAGUGAAUUGGUCAAAAUCAAGAGCAAUGAUCUCAAAAGUCUUUUACCAUAUGGUUUUGCUAUUCAUCAUGCUGGUAUGGACAGAGCAGACCGCCAACUGGUUGAGGAUCUCUUUGCUAAAGGGCAUGUACAAGUUUUGGUUUCCACUGCAACGCUUGCUUGGGGUGUGAAUCUGCCAGCUCACACUGUGAUUAUCAAAGGGACCGAAAUCUAUGAUCCAGAAAAGGGAGCAUGGACUGAACUAAGUCCGCUUGAUGUUAUGCAGAUGUUGGGUCGUGCAGGAAGACCUCAGUAUGAUUCGUGUGGAGAAGGGAUAAUCAUUACUGGCCACAAGGAACUACAUCACUAUCUUUCUUUAAUGAACCAACAACUUCCUAUUGAAAGUCAAUUUCUGUCCAAGUUGGCUGAUCAAUUGAAUGCAGAAAUUGUUCUUGGAAAUGUUCAGAAUGCUAGAGAAGCUUCUCAUUGGUUAAAAUACACUUACAUGUAUGUUCGCAUGCUAAAAAGUCCUAUCCUUUAUGGCUUGGAAGCUGAUGUUCUGACAAAAGAUAGUAAGUUGGAGGAGAGGCGAGCUGAUUUGAUCCAUUCUGCUGCAACCAUCUUGGAAAAGAACAAUAUGAUUGUAUAUGAUAGAAAAAGUGGAUACUUCCAGGUUACAGACUUGGGUCGCAUUGCCAGUCAUUAUUAUAUAACACAUGGAACAGUGUCCACAUAUAAUGAGCAUUUAAAGCCAACGAUGGGGGACUGUGAGCUUUGUCGAUUGUUCUCUCUCAGUGAAGAAUUUAAGUAUGUAACUGUGCGGCAGGAUGAAAAGAUUGAAUUGGCAAAACUUUUGGACCGCGUACCAAUUGUGGUCAAGGAAAGCCUGGACGAGCCCAGUGCCAAGAUUAAUGUUUUGCUGCAAGCCUAUAUUUCACAGCUGAAGCUUGAAGGUUUUUCAUUGGCAUCUGAUAUGAGUUUUAUUACUCAGAGUGCAGGGCGCCUUCUUCGAGCUCUUUUUGAGAUUGCAUUGAAACGAGGAUGGGCUGAAGUGGCAGAAAAGGCUUUGAACUUGUGUAAAAUGGUUAGCAGGAGGAUGUGGACUGUCCAAACACCGUUUCGCCAAUUCAAUGGAUUGAUAACAAAUGAUAUUUUGAUGAAGUUAGAGAAGAAGGAUUUAGCCUGGGAAAGGUAUUAUGACCUCUCUUCACAGGAGCUAGGGGAACUUAUUCAUUUCCCUACUUUGGGCAGAACACUUCAUAAGUUGGUCCACCAGUUCCCCAAAUUAAACCUCGCAGCCCAUUUGCAGCCAAUUACUCACACAGUAUUGAAAUUUGAGCUCACUAUAACACCGGAUUUUCAAUGGGAGGACAAAGUUCAUGGAUAUGUGGAGCCAUUUUGGGUAAUAGUGGAGAAUAAUGAUCGAGAGCAUAUUCUUCAUCAUGAAUAUUUCCUGCUGAAAAAACAGUAUAUGGAUGAAGAUCAUACUUUGAUCUUUACGGUGCCAAUAUAUGAACCUCUUCCACCUCAAUAUUUUAUCCGUGUUGUGUCUGAUAGGUGGCUUAGGUCCGAGACUGUUUUACCUGUUUUAUUCAGGGACCUCAUCUUACCUGCAAAGUGUCCUCCACCGACUGAGUUAUUGGACUUGCAACCACUUCCUGUGACUGCAUUGAGGAAUCCGUUAUAUGAGGCUCUGUAUGAUCAAGAUCUUAUGCAUUUCAAUUCUGUCCAGACUCAGGUCUUCACUGCUUUGUAUAAUUCAGAUGACAAUGUUUUAGUUGCUGCACGAACAGGAAAUGGGAAGACCAUAUGUGCAGAGUUUGCGAUAUUGAGGAAUCAUCAGAAGAGCACUGAACCUGAAGGUUGUGUCAUGCGUGUUGUGUACAUUGCACCUUUUGAUGCAAUUGCCGAGGUAACUUAUGUUGACUGGAAGAAGAAAUUUGGAGAUGGUCUCAAACUGAACGUUGUAAAAUUAACUGGGGAAUUAGCCAUGGACUUGAAAUUGCUCGAGCAAGGUCAAGUUAUCAUCAGCACUCCAGAGAAAUGGGACUAUCUAUCCCGUUGCUGGAAACGGAGAGAGAAUAUUCAACUAGUUAGUCUUUUUAUUGUGGAUGAACUCCACCUGAUUAGUGGUGAGGGCGGACAGAUCAUAGAGACAAUAGUCUCUAGAAUGAGACUGAUAGCCAGUCGACCCAAGACCAAGAUUCGCAUUGUGGCUCUUUCAACUUCUGUUGCAAAUGCAAAGGACCUUGGAGAAUGGAUAGGAGAUGCCUGCAUUUUCAAUUUUUCUCCAGGUGUGCGUCAAGUGCCUCUGGAUAUUGACAUUCAGGGGGUUGAUUUGGCAAACUUUUAUGCAAGGAUGGAAGCUAUGGUGAAAGCAACAUACACUGCAAUUGUUCAACAUGCCAAGAAUGGGAAACAAGCUCUUGUGUACGUUCCUACAAUGAAACAUGUCCGACUAACUGCUAAGAAUCUGGUGACUUACUCAAAUUCUGACACUGUCGAGAAGUUGUCAUUUUCAUUGCAGUUUUCAGAAGAUAUUGGAAAAGUUAGUGAUGAAAAACUGCGAAGCACUUUGAGCUGUGGGGUGGGCUACUUGCAUGAGGGAUUACCCAGCGAGGAUCAAGAAGCUGUGACAAAGCUUUUUAAAGAUCGAUCAAUCCAAGUCUGUGUCGUGAGCAGUUCAAUGUGUUGGGGAGUGCCGUUGUCAGCCCAUUUGGUGGUUGUGAUGGGAACCCAGUAUUAUGAUGGCACUGAUUACCCUGUUACUGAUCUGUUGCAGAUGAUGGGUCAUGCCAAUCUCCCGCAGCCAAAUGAUUCUGGGAAAUGUGUUAUCCUUUGUCACGCGCCUCGUAUAGAAUACUACAGGAAAUUCUUGUACAAAGCAUUCCCUGUUGAAAGCCAAUUGCACCAUUACCUACAUGAUAUCCUAAAUGCUGAAGUUGUUUCUGGUAUUAUUGAAACCAUGCAAGACGCUGUUGAUUACCUUAGUUGGACUUUCUUGUUUAGGAGGCUGACGCAAAAUCCCAACUAUUAUGAACUCCAGGGAGUUACUUACCGACAUUUAUCUGAUCACCUCUCAAGGCUUGUUGAAACUACAGUUUAUGAUUUGAAAAGAAGUGGGUGUGUUAGCAUCGAGGAUGACAUGGAUCUUUAUCCUUUGAACCUUGGUGUGAUAGCUACAUAUUAUCACGCUAAGUAUACUACCAUCGAGCGUUUCAGUUCUUCCUUAACUUCCAAAACAACAGUGAAGGGUCUUCUGCAGAUUCUAGCUCAAGCUUCGGAGUUUUCAGAACUUCCUAUACGACCAGGGGAGGAAGAGGUGAUCCAAAGGUUAGCAAACCACCAGAGGUUUUCCUUUGAGAAUCCCAAAUACACAGAUUCUCAUGUUAAAGCACUUGCUCUGCUUCAGGCCCAUUUCUCUAGACAACCUGUGGGUGCGGAGCUGGCUUUGGACCAGCAAGAGGUGCUGACAAAUGCAAGUAGGUUGAUUCAUGCAAUGGUUGAUGUGUGUUGCACCAACGGGUGGCUAAGAGUUGCUCUUCUAGUGAUGGAAGUCAGCCAGAUGCUGACCCAGGGAUUGUGGAAGGGUGACUCAGAGUUUCUACAGCUUCCUCACUUCACAAAGGAGUUGGCAAAGAGAUGCAAAGAAAAUCCUGGAAAGAGUGUGCAAACCAUAUCUGAUUUGAAGGAGAUGAAGGAUGACGAGAGGCAUCAACUCCUUCAGUUGCCAGAGACGGAGUUGAUGGCCAUUGAACAUUUUUGCGAACAAUUUCCUGACAUUGUGAUAGGUUAUGAGGUGCUGGAGAGUGAGAAUGUACGGGCCGGGGAAGAAUUCACUCUGGAAGUGAAUCUCGAGUUUAGGCAUAAGGUGAGAACAGCCCAGUUGGGCUGUGAUGACGUGAAGAGGUACCGCAAGGACAAAGAAGACGGGUGUUGGGUUGUGGUGAGCGAUAACAAGCUUGACUCAGUUGUCUUUAUAAAGAGAGUUCCCCAUGUUAAGAAGUUGACGAAACUCCCGGUUAUAAUUGCUGCUCCUGCAAAAGCUGGAACGACGGCACAGUAUAAGCUUUUUUUGAUGUGUGAUUCCUAUAUGGGAUGCGAUCAGGAAUCUGACUUGAUUCCUGUUGAGAUAAAGUAGUCUGUUUUGAAGCACGGCUUGGAAACUUCUCUGAUGAGCCUGACGUUGAGCUUGCUGCUUGUACUUAGUUGAUCUCUCCAGAGUAGACUACUACACUAGUGUUCGUUUCUUAUGAAAGAACCCAUUUCAAAACACAACCUUAGAGUGAUGAUGUAGAGGAGUAGCAGCCAGCAAUUUGGAUUAGCAAUAAGCGCCCCCUUUCCUUUCCCGGCUUUGAUUCCCCUGAUUGUUCUGCAUAUUAGUCUAGCUUGUUUCUGGGAAUUUAAGCUUCCAAAGUCUUCAUCCGCAGUGUGAGCUAGCCAUCAGAAGGAUGUGACAGGGUUUCCUUUACGAGAAUUUAAAGAUUUUUGGCGAGUUGCUCUGCUGAUGUCAUACUGUUAUAUCCCACCGAUGCCUUAAACAAGAAUUUCAAACCAGAAGAUCGCAGAGCUUUGUUUGUAGAAGCUGAAAAGGCCAGAAAAAAUUUAGGUACCAACAGACUUUUAACCACAUGUUUCAGAUGAUAUAAUCUGGUAUUUCUUAGUUCCAGUUUAGAGAAGUUUGCUAGAAUCUCUUAUUGUACUGGUGACUCAGAUAACCUGAGACAGUGGGUUCUCUCAUGUACUAGCUUUUUUUCUUUUUUUGGCCAACCUCAUGUAGUAGCUUCCAGACAAGAAAAUCGUCCCAUGUCUUUAGCUUUUAAAAGUUCUCUGUGUUCCGUCUCUUUCUCGCUGUCUGUGAAUAUGGAUGGGUGCCUUGCAGCUUAAAUCUGGAGGACCAGUUGUCAGUAAAUGGGUAAGCUAUUCUACUUCAAGCACACCAUAAAGGUUUGUCUUAGAGCUAAAACUUUAGCAUGCAAAAAUGCAUUCUUUUACCGGCAGCAACGGAAGCUACUUGCAUGGCAGCUUGCUCAUCCUUUGGGGACUGCACAGGAAUGCCGCGAGUGGCUGAAGGAAACAGACUUUUCAAGUACUAGAUCGUGGACCCAACAACAAGAAAAGUAAUUUUGAUCAGCAUGUCAAUAUUUGAGGGAAAGUUUUUCACUGUCAACUUUUACAAGUUCAAAUUUACUGGAAGUACUCGCAUUCCAACCGUAAGCUUUUUGCCUGCUGCUAUAUGUAAAGAUUACAAGUAAUCUAAUCUGGCACGGAUCUUUGGUUUAUGCAACUAAGUAUCUUCACACACGUCCACAGCCAAUUACAAUCUAGAUAAACGAUAAAUAAUGUAAUGUCUUAUUCUCACAGUGUUCUCAUCUGUUCAAGGUAAACAUUGAAUUUUCUGACCAAAAAAUAAAAAAUACUUUAGUUAUCCGUCUAAUGUUAUUGGCAAUCAAGUUUCUAAUUAGUAAUACCAACUUUCCGACCAGUGCAUUUACUCGGCAAUCAAGUUUUUUUCAGGUCAAAAUUUGGCGAUAAAUUUAAAAGGCCAGAAGGACUCAGACGAGAGUUUUCAUGACGAUGUCUCCGCCCAGAGUACAAGUGAAUGAACACAUAGACCUCAAUGAAACCGAGACCAAGAUCUUCGAUAUCCUUCUCAAAACACUUUGCCAUAAUGGCCUUGAGAACCUGCAGCUUCAUGUUGCUGAUGGAUGGGUCCGUGAUAAGCUUCUGGGAAAAGACUAUGGGGACAUUGAUAUUGCAGUUGAAGACAUGAGGGGAAUCAAAUUUGCUGAGAAGGUGAAAGACUACUUGUACUCUGUUGGGAAGGAGCAAGCAAUCACUUAUUUUCCAGGGUAGUUGCAUGUUGAGUAAGCUGUAUAGCUAAAUCAAUGAAGGUCAGGCUUUUGGGUUUUAUACUUCUUUUUCUAGCUUGCUGCAAAUUACAACGUGUGGCAGCGGCAAGGAUGAGCAUGUUUAAUAUAUGGCUUGAUUUUCUUAAGCUAGGGGGUGAAAAUGACAGUGACAAUAGCCCCAUUAGUUCCACUGAUGAGCAAAAAUAUGCCACAGAAAAGAGAAGGAUGCAUGUAGAAGAGAUAUAACCAUUAACAGCUUGUUGUGCAAUAUCAAUUCAAAAUCAGUUGAAGAUCAUACUGGAAGAGGAACUGCAGAUCUAAAAGAAGGAAGAAUAGCAACUACUACACCACCUGAGCUUUCACUUGUGGAGGAUCCUAAACGAGUUCUUCGUGCUAUCCGUUAUGGUAGUUGCCAUUACUGCUAAGAAUUUUCAAAAUUGUGUACCAAGUUGUUGUUUCAUUAACUUAUUCUAAUCAGGAGCAACUUCUAAACCUUAAUAGUUUCCAACAAAUAAGCUAGCAAUUAGCGUGCCCGCACACACACAUGUUUAUACACCCUGGUGCACAAAUUGGUAUGUGUUACAUAAAUUGGUACACAAAUCAGGGGCCAAGUUUGGGUUUUUUCUCGACGAUGAUAUAAAGAAAGCUGCUGCAAGUGAUGAAGUGAAAGCUGCUCUGAUGUCGAAAGUUAGCAGAGAUAGGAUCAAUGUUGAAGUAAGUUCCUGUCAUCCUCAAAAGAAAAUAGACCUUAUUAUUUUCUAU